AGAGUUGAUCCUGGCUCAGGACGAACGCUGGCGGCGUGCUUAACACAUGCAAGUCGAGCGGAAAGGCCCUUCGGGGUACUCGAGCGGCGAACGGGUGAGUAACACGUGAGCAACCUGCCCCUAGCUCUGGGAUAACUCCGGGAAACCGGGGCUAAUACCGGAUACGACCUGAGGCGGCAUCGCCUCGGGUGGAAAGUUUU
rnacentral:rRNA from 1 species